rnacentral:lncRNA from 1 species
AAAAGGUUAUCAUAGAGAAAAACAGAAACCUGCACCUGCAGUAUUCAAUAUAGGCACAAGUGAGCUGUGGGGAAAAAAGUGAAUAGGAAAAUGAGAACUUGCUGAAGGCCAUGAAGUGGUAUGGUGAAUGGCUGGGUGGUAAAGUGGCGGAUGAAAUUUUACUUUAAUAAAUGCAAAUAAUAGACAUGGGAAAAGGCAAUAAUCUUAAGUAUACAUGAAGGACUCUUAUUAGUUAUUGCCACUCAGAAAAGACAACUUGGUAUUGUAGGUGGUUCUCUGGAAGCAUAAUUUUAAUGCUCUGCCACAGUCACAAAGCAGCAAGCAGAAUGGUUAGCUUUAUUGGGAAAGGAACAGAAAACAUUGCUAUGACCCUACACAACUCUGGGAUGUCUAUGUCUCAGAAUCUGUGUGCGUUUAUAUAAGGAGAAGGGUGGUGAAGCCCAGGCUAUUAGAGAAAAUGUGGUGCAGGCAAGGAGUAUGUUAAGCAUUUAUCAAACUUGAGAGGGGGAAGAAAAGAAAAAGGAAAGUAGGAGGACUUGCCAAGUUCCUGGAAAGGACUUUCCACUUGUCUGGAGCUUACUGACUUCGAUGUAUCUGGAUUGUUCUUUUCUACUUACCAGUUCAUCAGCAAGGAAAAAAACCACUACAUUCCAAAUUUACGUUAAAGUUAAGAACUGGCUACGUAAAUUUGCAAGGCACUGAACUUCUCAGAGUAAUCGUGGGGAGCACAUUUGACUCUGAUAUAACCCAUUUGGUCUUAAGCCUUGGACUCUGUACAAGAAUAAGUUAUUUUGAUUGUGUGAAACAAUAUAGAGAUACAGUUGUGUAUCCCAUAUCCAUUUGACUGCACUUACAUGCCUGAUUGAGACAGACAGUACACGAGGACUACAGGGGAAACUGUGCCCUCGAAUGUGUCUGAGUAGCAGGUAGAAGAAAAAGAUGACACUCGUGAUUCAUAGGGAGAGACAGUCUCACAGCUUCAUCUCUCAGAACAGUGACCUUGACUGAGUGACUGAGCCUGCUACUUCAUUCUUUCAUUCCUGAUACUUUAAUUCCUGAUUUCUUGGUGGUCCAACCUUGUUAGGAGAAGCAUGUUCCCAUAAAACACUUCUCUAAGAAUUAGUAGCUAUCAUUUCAGCUCUGCCCGUCUUCCCUCCGUGCCAAAAGAAGAGAAUGCAUAGCAAGUUCUCUGCAGGUGCUGUGUUUGUUCUUUAAUGUCAGCAUCACAUCUCCAGUUGCUUUUAUAUUUUGAUCUGAACCUAGCAAAGAGCUAAGUGUGAAUGAAAUAAAUUAAACAAACUAAAGAUCUCUGACCUUUCC